GGGAUGCGCGGGGCGGGGAGUUUACGGGAAGCGCAGCCUCGGCGGGGCCCGGCCGGCGGCGGGGAGGUCGCGGGGCCGGGAGGCGCGAGAAAAAGAAAAACAUCCAUUCAUGAGAGUUCAGGGAUACGUGAAAAUGAAGCAAAUGAGGAAAGACCCAUUCACAUUCCUCCAAAAGAUCUGUGGCUCACUGGAAUCAUGUUACUGGCUCCUGGUAGUCCCUGACUUUACCUGUUUGUUCCAGGAACUUGCUUUAUGGCCAUUUGUUCUAAUGAUCAGUUUGGACAACCAACCUUUAUUCCUCCACCUCAGACAAUAUUCAACAUCCUGUAAUCAUCAUAGCGAAAUGAUCUACAUUUCUGGUUAUCUACUUGGGACAUUUCACAGAAGAGUGAUUACCUGGUGAAAAGAAAAUGAACAAUGAUAAGACUCUUGAUACCUAUUGCCACUUACUGUUUUCUGGUAUUGUACCAAUUUGUUCUCUCACAAGCACUAUAUGAGGGAAUCUAUCUCGUCCAAUAUCAUUAGAUGCUUUCAUUAAAAAAAAAACUUGGCUAAUUUGACAGGAAAAAA
ensembl:lncRNA novel transcript